rnacentral:rRNA from 1 species
GGGGAAUAUUGCACAAUGGGCGAAAGCCUGAUGCAGCGACGCCGCGUGAGCGAAGAAGUAUUUCGGUAUGUAAAGCUCUAUCAGCAGGGAAGAUAAUGACGGUACCUGACUAAGAAGCACCGGCUAAAUACGUGCCAGCAGCCGCGGUAAUACGUAGGGGGCAAGCGUUAUCCGGAUUUACUGGGUGUAAAGGGAGCGUAGACGGCGCAGCAAGUCUGAUGUGAAAGGCAGGGGCUUAACCCCUGGACUGCAUUGGAAACUGCUGUGCUUGAGUGCCGGAGGGGUAAGCGGAAUUCCUAGUGUAGCGGUGAAAUGCGUAGAUAUUAGGAGGAACACCAGUGGCGAAGGCGGCUUACUGGACGGUAACUGACGUUGAGGCUUGAAAGCGUGGGGAGCAAACAGGAUUAGAUACCCUGGUAGUCCACACCGUAAACGAUGAUUACUAGGUGUUGGAGGAUUGACCCCUUCAGUGCCGCAGUUAACACAAUAAGUAAUCCACCUGGGGAGUACGACCGCAAGGUUGAAACUCAAAGGAAUUGACGGGGGCCCGCACAAGCAGUGGAGUAUGUGGUUUAAUUCGACGCAACGCGAAGAACCUUACCAAGUCUUGACAUCCCUUGACAGGCAUAGAAAUAUGUUUUCUCUUCGGAGCAAGGAGACAGGUGGUGCAUGGUUGUCGUCAGCUCGUGUCGUGAGAUGUUGGGUUAAGUCCCGCAACGAGCGCAACCCUUAUCUUCAGUAGCCAGCGAGUAAGGUCGGGCACUCUGGAGAGACUGCCAGGGACAACCUGGAGGAAGGUGGGGAUGACGUCAAAUCAUCAUGCCCCUUAUGACUUGGGCUACACACGUGCUACAAUGGCGUAAACAAAGGGAAGCGAACCUGUGAGGGUGGGCAAAUCCCAAAAAUAACGUCUCAGUUCGGAUUGUAGUCUGCAACUCGACUACAUGAAGCUGGAAUCGCUAGUAAUCGCGAAUCAGCAUGUCGCGGUGAAUACGUUCCCG